rnacentral:tRNA from 1 species
GCUAGUGUGGUGUAGUGGUUAGAGUGUCCAACUAGGAACUGGGAGGCCCAGGUUCAAAUUCCUGCUCUGCCCUAGAAGCU